AACGACGGCGGAGCAUGCGGAUUAAUUCGAUGCAACGCGAAGAACCUUACCAAGGCUUGACAUACACCGGUAAGCCCAGAGAUGGGUGCCCCUUUGUGGUCGGUGUACAGGUGGUGCAUGGUUGUCGUCAGCUCGUGUCGUGAGAUGUUGGGUUAAGUCCCGCAACGAGCGCAACCCUCGUCCUAUGUUGCCAGCGGGUCAUGCCGGGGACUCAUGGGAGACUGCCGGGGUCAACUCGGAGGAAGUGGGGAUGACGUCAAAUCAUCAUGCCCCUUAUGUCUUGGGCUUCACGCAUGCUACAAUGGCCGGUACAAAGGGCUGCGAUACCGCGAGGUGGAGCGAAUCCCAGAAAGCCGGUCUCAGUUCGGAUUGGGGUCUGCAACUCGACCCCAUGAAGUCGGAGUCGCUAGUAAUCGCAGAUCAGCAACGCUGCGGUGAAUACGUUCCCGGGCCUU
rnacentral:rRNA from 1 species